GCUUGAUCGGUGGAAGCUGUGGUUCCCGGGUUAGGCAGCUGGAGACUUGGAAUGAAAAUACGCGUUACUGCUGUUGUCACUGAGCCCGCUUGCGUCAUUAUGUGAAGUAGGGUCACGUGACUGGUUAUUUGUAAUUAGGUAUAGAUGUGACUCCAGGAGACUGAAGAAAUGGCUGGGCAGUAAAGGAGUUCUGUAACUUCAGGUAUCAGAAGUCUUCUCAUCCUUAUUAUGGGUUCUCAGGUCCAGUCUUAGAAGUGUGACACCAUCUAUGGAUUCUCCUCCUAACUCGCCAAGAAUGGACAAGGAGGUCCCGAGGCCCAUGAUGGGCAGAAUUCUAAACUUAUCCUUGAAGAUCAUCUACCUGCUGACUGGAGAGGAUUAUGGACCCCAGAGGAAGUCUUGGGAGGAAUUUGCAGAUAGUGGUCAUUCCUGUGCAGCACGUAGACUAAGAAGCUCUUGGAGUCCCGUUAAUGAGCUUAAGAUCUUGAAAC